rfam:Physcomitrella patens subsp. patens PHYPAscaffold_71 genomic scaffold, whole genome shotgun sequence.
UCCGUGCAAUGAUUUCAAAUAAUUCCUCGUACUGAAUGCUAAUGGCUUGACAGACUACGAAACACCCAUAGAAUAUGAGCACG